rfam:Pseudocercospora musae strain CBS 116634 scaffold1318, whole genome shotgun sequence.
GGCCGAUUAGUUAAGUAGUAUAAUCCUUAGCUAUAAAAGAUAUAGUUACUAGAUAUACUAAGUUAGAGAGUCCCUACUCUUCUAGCUAUACUACCCUAGGCGUUAAGAACUCUAAGGCCCUAUAAUCGAUAGAGUCUAAGAGGUCGUAGGUUCGAAUCCUAUACCGGUCG